rnacentral:rRNA from 1 species
AGAGUUUGAUCCUGGCUCAGGAUGAACGCUGGCGGCGUGCCUAACACAUGCAAGUCGAACGAAGCGCUUUGAAUGAAGUUUUCGGAUGGAAUGAGAAGUGACUGAGUGGCGGACGGGUGAGUAACGCGUGGGUAACCCGCCUCAUACAGGGGGAUAACAGUUAGAAAUGACUGCUAAUACCGCAUAAGCGCACGAUAUCGCAUGAUAUUGUGUGAAAAACUCCGGUGGUAUGAGAUGGACCUGCGUCUGAUUAGCUAGUUGGUGAGGUAACGGCCCACCAAGGCGACGAUCAGUAGCCGACCUGAGAGGGUGACCGGCCACACUGGGACUGAGACACGGCCCAAACUCCUACGGGAGGCAGCAGUGGGGAAUAUUGCACAAUGGGGGAAACCCUGAUGCAGCGACGCCGCGUGAGUGAAGAAGUAUUUCGGUAUGUAAAGCUCUAUCAGCAGGGAAGAAAAUGACGGUACCUGACUAAGAAGCCCCGGCUAACUACGUGCCAGCAGCCGCGGUAAUACGUAGGGGGCAAGCGUUAUCCGGAUUUACUGGGUGUAAAGGGAGCGUAGACGGCUAAGCAAGUCUGAAGUGAAAUACCCGGGCUCAACCUGGGAACUGCUUUGGAAACUGUUUAGCUAGAGUGCUGGAGAGGCAAGCGGAAUUCCUAGUGUAGCGGUGAAAUGCGUAGAUAUUAGGAGGAACACCAGUGGCGAAGGCGGCUUGCUGGACAGUAACUGACGUUGAGGCUCGAAAGCGUGGGGAGCAAACAGGAUUAGAUACCCUGGUAGUCCACGCCGUAAACGA